rnacentral:pre_miRNA from 13 species
GAGUUCUAAAACCACUUGUACCUGGUGUGAUUAUAAAGCAAUGAGACUGAUUGUCAUUUGUCUUUUGUGGGAUCCGUCUCAGUUACUUUAUAGCCAGACCUGGUAUCUUAACCACAGAUCCUUGC